AUUCAAGAUCCUAUUUGAACAUGAGAAACCUCUUGAAGAGGAGAAAUGAUAGGUCAUCCACCAAGGCUACUGGCCAUUUGGACAAAGAACUGCCUCUACCUUGACUGCUGACUUUGGAGAUGCUGUAACAACUGGACUAUCAGGAGAUAAACUUAAAGAAAAGAGACUGCUGAACCUAGACAAGUCGGGAUAUAUUUUGUCUGGCAUAUGCUAAACCAUUAGAUCCAUGGAGUGGGCCACAGGACUGGUUGGCUGUUCAAGAUGAUAAAAUACUGACAUCUGUAUCUCAUAAUCUAUAAGUAUCAUGUGGACAGUAUGAUCCUGUUAACAACAGACAAGAGUACUGAAGGGUUGGAAGUGACCCUCAGCAAGCCCAAAACCAUCUGACGUCAGUGGGUGAAGAAACCACUCUUUGAGGUAGUGUUUCCUGGGUUCUGACUGGGAGUCUUCCAUGAAAAUACAGGCUUGGAAAAGUGAGGACAGCCAUUUCAAGAUUGCCCAGAUGAGAGCAGAACUAUAAAUUCAAGUUAUCUACAAUUGUGAUGUCAGAGUUUCUAUGUUCAAUCAGUUCUUGUUUUAUGUAAUAUUGGCUGCAGUGUAUUGUUUCUGAUAACUGGAAUGCAUCAAAGAGAAAUGAUGCAGUGUUUUCUGGAAGUAAAAUGAUGAGCAUUCUUACGGAACAAAGAACUUUCAUUGCUGAAG